rnacentral:rRNA from 2 species
AGAGUUUGAUCAUGGCUCAGAUUGAACGCUGGCGGCAGGCCUAACACAUGCAAGUCGAACGGUAACAGGAAGCAGCUUGCUGCUUUGCUGACGAGUGGCGGACGGGUGAGUAAUGUCUGGGAAACUGCCUGAUGGAGGGGGAUAACUACUGGAAACGGUAGCUAAUACCGCAUAACGUCGCAAGACCAAAGAGGGGGACCUUCGGGCCUCUUGCCAUCGGAUGUGCCCAGAUGGGAUUAGCUAGUAGGUGGGGUAACGGCUCACCUAGGCGACGAUCCCUAGCUGGUCUGAGAGGAUGACCAGCCACACUGGAACUGAGACACGGUCCAGACUCCUACGGGAGGCAGCAGUGGGGAAUAUUGCACAAUGGGCGCAAGCCUGAUGCAGCCAUGCCGCGUGUAUGAAGAAGGCCUUCGGGUUGUAAAGUACUUUCAGCGGGGAGGAAGGCGAUAAGGUUAAUAACCUUGUCGAUUGACGUUACCCGCAGAAGAAGCACCGGCUAACUCCGUGCCAGCAGCCGCGGUAAUACGGAGGGUGCAAGCGUUAAUCGGAAUUACUGGGCGUAAAGCGCACGCAGGCGGUCUGUCAAGUCGGAUGUGAAAUCCCCGGGCUCAACCUGGGAACUGCAUUCGAAACUGGCAGGCUAGAGUCUUGUAGAGGGGGGUAGAAUUCCAGGUGUAGCGGUGAAAUGCGUAGAGAUCUGGAGGAAUACCGGUGGCGAAGGCGGCCCCCUGGACAAAGACUGACGCUCAGGUGCGAAAGCGUGGGGAGCAAACAGGAUUAGAUACCCUGGUAGUCCACGCCGUAAACGAUGUCGACUUGGAGGUUGUGCCCUUGAGGCGUGGCUUCCGGAGCUAACGCGUUAAGUCGACCGCCUGGGGAGUACGGCCGCAAGGUUAAAACUCAAAUGAAUUGACGGGGGCCCGCACAAGCGGUGGAGCAUGUGGUUUAAUUCGAUGCAACGCGAAGAACCUUACCUACUCUUGACAUCCAGAGAACUUAGCAGAGAUGCUUUGGUGCCUUCGGGAACUCUGAGACAGGUGCUGCAUGGCUGUCGUCAGCUCGUGUUGUGAAAUGUUGGGUUAAGUCCCGCAACGAGCGCAACCCUUAUCCUUUGUUGCCAGCGGUCCGGCCGGGAACUCAAAGGAGACUGCCAGUGAUAAACUGGAGGAAGGUGGGGAUGACGUCAAGUCAUCAUGGCCCUUACGAGUAGGGCUACACACGUGCUACAAUGGCGCAUACAAAGAGAAGCGACCUCGCGAGAGCAAGCGGAACUCAUAAAGUGCGUCGUAGUCCGGAUUGGAGUCUGCAACUCGACUCCAUGAAGUCGGAAUCGCUAGUAAUCGUGGAUCAGAAUGCCACGGUGAAUACGUUCCCGGGCCUUGUACACACCGCCCGUCACACCAUGGGAGUGGGUUGCAAAAGAAGUAGGUAGCUUAACCUUCGGGAGGGCGCUUACCACUUUGUGAUUCAUGACUGGGGUGAAGUCGUAACAAGGUAACCGUAGGGGAACCUGCGGUUGGAUCACCU